CUCGAGGAGAGAACGCACCCACGCGCUGCGGGCGUUGUUUUUGAAUCGGGUUUAUCCCGAAUAAAGCUGGAUAGCCUGGCCAGGUCUGGGAGCUCCUUUAUACGAAUGCCUCCCAUCUUAAGCCGAACCCAGGAUUUUACUCUAAUUUCAACGUGUUUCCGGUUGGUAAAAUAGAAAAGGAGUCCUUUAAGACUCUCUGGACUUCGGCUCCCCAGGACCAGGGCUGGAAAACCCGCGUUUAAAGACUUAUAAUGCGGCUUAGUCUACACUGUAUCAACUCUCACGUUAGCGGAUACAGACGGCAGUUUUCCUCUUCUCGGGACUCAUCAGCACGGCCAUGCUAACUUCGACCUCUGAAAAAGACCUACAUUUUAAUAUUUUAAACCUCUCUCAGUAUAAUUACCUUACGUCUCUGCAGUCCUACCGACCACGACGCAAAACACUUCCACGCCGGGAAGAUCUCGUAUGACAACACUGCACCUCGGUCACCCUGCUCCGGGCCAGCCUGCGAGCGCAGCGCCACCGCCCUCUGCCGGCGACGCGCGGUAACGCAAGUACCCAUCGCUACACUCGGCACAAAGCUGUCGUACAGCCUGUGCUGCAUUAUUUAUGCCCUAGUCGGUGAAUGGGCAGCAAAGUUGCAUCUGAGCACUUACUCCAUUUCCUCUCCGCACUGUUGGCUUCACACUGAGUGCCAAGGCCAAGAGCAGAAAUUAAUGAACGCCGCCUGACUCAAACGCAAAUUGUUCAAGGGAAGUUGCUUAAUUAACCCCUUUCCAACCAACAACCGAGUUUCUUUUAAUUGGCUUCUCCCGGAGUGACUCCGAAAAUCCCACAGAAUUACCGUCUGAGACCACAAGGAGUGUUUCUGUUAAAAACACACAACCUGCGAUGCUGUACGCGGGAAGGGGAUCAGGGUGCGAGGACGCUGUCGCGAUCCAUUUCGUCGGUGGAGCGAGCGUCUCCUGGCUACUCCGCGCGGCUGUAACUCUCCCCUCUUCCACACGGUGGCGCCAGAGGCUGCUUUAAAGAACUGAAGGCGUUUUCGACUGUUCUCCGACCGGGAGACUACAAGUCGUGUCUAUCCGUCUGUCUAUGGUUUAGGUCUGGUCUGUUCGCAAGAUUAAAAACGACAAGGCGGUGAACUGCAAACAUUAGCUGCCGGUGGAUGAAGAGCUGUACGAAUGUUGAAUUUUAGCGUUUUCGUUGUAAAAGCAAAAAGCGGAAAGUACCUAAAUCAAACAGUUUCAUUCAGAAAAAAGUUUGCCCUGUUGUAAGAGAGAUGACGGAAACCCUGUCUGUGGCUGGUGCUUUCUGUGUUGUGGAGUCUCUGCUACAGGGAUCAAGACUGUGGAUCAGUGACCCGUGUGGCGUUAUUGUCCCUGUGCUACUGAGGACGUGAGAGCAAUGCAUGAGAAACCAUUCUCAUUUAGAGCCUAACUCCAAUGCCCGCUCUACGACUGAAGACAGAUUCUUCCAGGCAGGGGUUGAUGGUGUCCCAGCCAGGAAGACCCCCACAGCAAUGCAUUCUCUUUGUGACCAUGUGACCUGCUCAGCAGCACAGUGAAACACCAGGACUGGGAAACAGCAGCAAGGUGGGUCUACUGGACUAGAGCCGUUGCUGUUGCCCCCAACCAGACAGGAACACACUCAGAACCCCCACACACACACACACACUUACCCCAGCUUGUGGAGACACGUACAAUGGGGCUAUCGGGUUAAAAUAUCCUGCAGGCACUGACAGAGUGGUUUCUGAAUUAUUUAAUGUUUUUUUUUCUCUUUUUUAAAGGCC